rnacentral:sRNA from 1 species
AUGCAAUUGAAAAAGUUGUUACCACAGGUACAGACACAAGGCCUUAUUGCAAGUGAUGCAAUGCAUGCUUCCAUUGACUCGAAAUGUGAAAUUUCGGAGAGUCAAUCUUUGUCUAGGCCAAGGGCCCACUAUAGUAAAUUUAUGCCAUCUGAUGAUCAGAUUUCUGUUGUUUCCCAUGAAAUCGAGGAUGAAAUAAGUAUGGGUGGUUCAGCUAUUUCUGAUGAAAAUAAUAAUGAUGCCCACUCUCAGUCACAACAUUCUCAUGAAAAAGACUUUUCUCUGUUUAGUGAAGGAGCACCAGGAUCUACCGAUCCAGUUCAAUGGAAUAAUUUUCUCCAUAAAUUGACAACCAAAUUAAAAAUAGAUUGUUCAGAGGAAACUGAAGUAGAUUCAGUCAGAACUUCCUAUUUGCCUUCAAGACUAAAUCCUGGCAAUUCAAAUAAAUCAACUAAUUUAAAAUUACCUUUAGAGGGUACUACAGUUGAAGUUUUCAAGAAUGUUGAAAAGGAAGCUAUGUCUGGUAGACUUAAAAAUAGGUCAGUUCGUCUAAGAGAUGAUAAGGCUUUUAUGGUGUCGAAAAAAGAUUUCACAGAAUUUUGUUCCCCUCCAAGGCUUGAUGAUAAUAUUGAGGAGGGUUUGUCAUCUACUAUGGGCAAUAAGAAAAAAGGUUUUGUAGACCGUAAAAAGUUUUCACACUCUUUACCUUCCUUCCAUAAGGAAAUGGAUGCUGAAUUUAAAAAGGUUGACAACUCAGCUAGGACAUUGUUAAGAAGUGUUUCAUAUGGCUCUUUGAUAGCAAGCUAUAUUGAUGUUGCUGAUUCAGAGGAAGACAGGGUAGAAGCAUGUUCAGCUUUAGUAGCAUGUUUCAAGUCUAUGGCAGAUAUGACUUCACGUAUAGUUGCUAAUUCUGUUAUAAACAGAAGAAAAAUUUUCUUAAAAAAUGUUGAUUUUACUAGCAAAGCCACAUCAGCUAAAUUGUUGAAUUUACCUUUGAAUGGCGCACAACUUUUUGGUGGUAAAUAUUUUGAUACUUUGCAUUCCUCAGCUGAAAAAUAUAAGAGAUGCUAAAGAAACACAAAACGUUUAUCGUUCUUCAUUUGUUCCUGGAGGGCAAAAAUUUGAUGAAGGAUCUAGAAAAAGAAAAUCUCAAGAAACUUCUAAUGUAUCCUACAACAAACCUGCAAAAACAUCAAGAUAUGAUAAGCAGGAUUUUAAUGACCGUCGUGGCACUGACACUUCGUCUAAUUUUCGUGCCUUGCCAGCAAAACAAAGGCUUUUUUAUGGAAAAAUUCCUCCCAGAAAAAUUUCAAGAAAUAAACAAUUAUUUGUCUGCGGUAAGUCUCCAGGUAGGAGCACGGUUGUUACAUUACCACAGUCAGUGGUUUCAAAUAACUCAAGACAAGUUAGUACUUCAGAUAGUGAAGAACGGUUUAAUUUUAGAUUUCAUAAGUCUUCCAGCUUUUACAGGAGUAAAAGAGACAGUUGUACCCAGAGUAGGUACAAAAAGGUCUUCUAUAUUAGAAGAGGUAAAUUCUUUGUUAGAAAAACAUGCUAUAGAGCCUGUCCCGACAAGUGCAGAAAAUCAGGGUUAUUACAGUACAAUAUUCAUGGUACCAAAAAGACAAGGAGGUCUCAGACCAAUUCUAAAUUUAAAACCACUAAACCAGUUUGUCAUACCUCAUCACUUCAAAAUGGAAACCCUCCGAUCGAUUCUAAAAAGUCUGAAAAUUGGGGACUGGGCAGUAAAACUGGAUUUGCAAGAUGCAUAUUUCCAUAUACCCAUUCACAAACAUUACAGAAAAUUUCUCCGCUUCAGCAUUUUGGGAAAAAGUAUCAAUACCGAGCUCUACCAUUCGGUCUACGAUCGGCUCCAAGGAUUUUCACAAAAGUGAUGGCAGUAGUAGGUGCGUUUCUGCGAAAACAAAUGAUUCACAUAUUUAUGUACCUGGACGAUUGGAUGUUAAAAAACAGCAGCAAAGUAAAGCUGACAAAACAAUUACAGUACACUCAAGAAUUGUUGAAAAAUCUGGGUUUGAUAAUCAAUGUGAAAAAAUCUUGUUUAGUUCCGACUCAAAUAAUAGAGUAUCUAGGAGCAGUGAUUCACUUAAAAGAAGGUCUUGUGUUUCCGUCUCUAGAGAGAUUCAAAAAUAUAAGUCAGAUGAUUCAAAUAUUCCUAAAUUCACAAACAGUAGAGGCACGUGUAAUGUUGAGACUACUUGGUCUAAUGGCUUCAUGCAUAGAUUUAGUUCCAUGGGCCCGACUGCACAUGAGACCACUUCAGCUUUAUCUUCUAGCUUGGUGGAGACCAGCUCUACACAGUUUAAAUCAUUUGAUUCCACUGUAUCAACCACUCCAGGAACAUCUAUUCUGGUGGCUAAACCGAAGAAAUUUUUUCAAGGGAGUGCUAUUAGAACAGGAAUCUGCUCAGGUGACUCUAGUGACAGAUGCGUCACAGUCGGGAUGGGGAGCUCAUAUAAACAAUUAUCAGAUAGCAGGUGUUUGGUCGCCUCAGUACAAAGUAAAACACAUCAAUUGGCUAGAACUCAAAGCUGUGCAGUUAGCACUGCAAACAUUUCUGAUAAAAGUACAAUUCAAAAGUGUGCUAGUGAGAACAGACAAUGCAACUGUCGUCAGUUAUCUGAACAAACAGGGAGGUACGCGAUCCCCAGACCUUUGUUACUUGGCAUGGGAUCUUUUGAAAUGGUGUAUAAAUCACAAUGUCAAAAUCCAAGCUGUUCAUAUUCCGGGAAAAAAGAAUAUUAUAGCAGAUGCCCUGUCAAGGGGGAAAAUGACCAUUCGUUUGACAGAAUGGGCAUUAAAUAUGACAAUAGUGAAUUUGUUGUUCCUUCAGCUAGGAACACCAGUAAUAGAUCUGUUUGCGACUUCAAUGAACAAGAAGCUGCCAGUGUUUUGCUCUCCUUGGCCGGAAGAAACAGCAGUGUCAAUAGAUGCACUGUCAAUGAAAUGGACAAAUCUAUUUGCUUAUGCAUUCCCGCCACCGAUCAUUCUAAACAGAGUAUUACAAAAAAUACAGAAAGAGGACUGUGUAAUUUUACUGAUAGCGCCAAUGUGGCCGAGACAGUCGUGGUACAGUCAACUUCUCAACCUGUUAAUAGACUUUCCAAUACAACUGCCUGUACAACAAAAUCUAUUAAGUCAAAAUGGAAUUUUUCAUCCAAAUCCAAGUGUUCUAAAUCUUGUAGCUUGGAAAGUGUCAAAAGAUCUUACACUGCAAAAGGAUUUUCACCAAAAAUUGCUUCAAUUAUUUCCAAUGCACGAAAACAAUCAACACAGACAGUUUAUAAUGCAAGACUCAAGCUAUUUGACAGCUGGUGUCAAGAACGGAGUAUCAAUCCCAGUACGGCAACUGUGCCAGAAAUAGCUGAAUUUCUUAUGUUCUUACAUACUGUAAAGAAUUGUAAGCCAAGCACUUUAGCUGGUUACAAGUCAGCAAUAGCUUUAAUACAUUCAUCUAAAGAUAGAAUUUCUAUUAACAUGGAUUUGCGUAAUUUAAUUAAAGGAUUGUACAACAUUAAUCCACCAAUAAGGCAGUUGGCGCCAAAUUGGGAUUUGCCGUUGGUUUUGCUAGUGUUGACAAAGACACCUUUUGAACCACUAGAAGAAGCAGAAUUGAAAUAUUUAACCUUAAAGACAGUUUUUCUUAUGGCAUUAGCUUCUGCUGCAAGAGUCAGUGAAUUACACAGUUUCACUAUUAAUGACAAACAUUUCAGGAAAGAGCAAAGAGGUAUACGGUUGUUGCCAAAUAUGCAAUUUCUUGCUAAAACUCAAACUUUGAAUAAACCAUGGGAACCAGUAUUCAUUCCCAAAUUUGAAAACUAUGCUACAGAUCCAAACGAUUUACUGCUGUGCCCUUGUAGAGCACUACUAGCUUAUAUUAAAAGAACUGAAGUUUUGCGCAAAUCACAAAGACUCUUUGUAACAUAUCAAAAGAAUCAUCAUGUAGAGGCUUCUAAGAAUUCCAUUGCACGAUGGAUUGUGAACACGGUUAAAUAUGCAUAUGAACAUGCAGAUACAGACACACUUCAGUUUGUGAGAGCUCAUGAUACAAGAAAGCUCUCAACUUCUUGGGCUUUAUUCAAUGGACUUUCCUCUCAAGAAAUUUUAAGAGCAGCUCAUUGGUCAAAUGAGACAACAUUCACCUCAUAUUACUUGAAGGAUGUACCAGAUUUGGAAUCUCGGUUUGCAAAAGCUGCAAUUUUGCAUACGGCUAACAGAAGACAGAAGAAGUAUUAA